rnacentral:lncRNA from 1 species
GUUUGGUAGAACGUUUGCGGAUAUACAAUGUACCUUCAAAAUAAUUUUUUUGGGACCUUGUUGGUGUUUCUAUGUUUAUUUACACUGGGAUGUAAAAUUGAAAGUAAUACUUUUAAAGAACUUCUAGUUCACAUUUUUCAACAAUCAGAUGUUGCCCUGCAUGAUACAUGUAAAAUUUUACCUGUUUAUGUUCUCCUUUUUUCUUUUUUUUUGGCCAAAUAUUUUUUUUGCAUCCUUAAGUUUAUAUGGCAACAUAUUUUUUUCUUUCUAAUUUCCCCCCUAAAUCUUAUUUUUAAUAUUUUUUAAACUUGGGAAUUUUCAUUUUUUUCAUUUUUUGGUAAAAAAAUUAUUCUUCACUGGACUUGGUGAACUAUGGUCAGUAUCGGGCCCACUGCCUGCCUAAGAGGGGCCCGAGUACAUAAUGCUUCAGUGAUUCAUAUAAACAACCAGAUUUUUUUCUCAAAAGGGGGGGCCCCCCUCCUUAAUUCACCUCUGAUGCUAAUUAAGGUAUCAUAUUGCAGGAUCUUGCUUCUUAAAAAGUUAAAAAUAAGACUUUUCUCUGCAAAGCUUUUACCAGCUAGUUGAACCCUGAUUAGGUUGAAAAAAAUCAGAUGCAGAUUCCAGCUUUUUUAGAGGGGGGGGGGGUAAAAAAAUGACAAAUCUUGGAUAAAAUGGAGGAAGGAAAUGUGGAAUGUGUCAAAGAGACAACAACCCGCCCAAAGAGCAAAUAACAGCCAAAUUGUUAAAACUUCUGUGCAUUAACAAAUAUGUAUAACCCUAAUGCCAGUAAAUGGUGGCUUGGGGUUUGGCAUCCUGCUCCAUCAAAUCAACCCAGAAAUUAGAUUCUUGUAUAAGUUGACAUUCUUGCAAAUUCUGUCUUGGAAUGACUUCUCUGAUUAGCAAUUCAUAAUCUUAAUAAAAUAUCGAUUACUUGUAUAUAAUUUCUAGAAUAUUUGCAAACAUGUGUAUAAUCUAAUUUUAGAAUCAUAACUAACCCAAGAAAAUGGAAAUGAAAAGAAAAGGUUACUUUCCAGUCAAGUGAUGAGCAUACUUACUAAAUACUGAAGGUGUUCUAGAUACUGAUGUUCACAGGAUUGAUACAUGUAGGUAUAUAUUAGUUAGUAAAAUCAGUGAAACCAUUAUUUAAAAUUAAACAUUUAUAGUUACACUUUAGUAUGCACAGACUCAGUUGAAAAGUAGUUGAAAAUCUGAAAAUGACACACACUUAAUAGCCAAGGGACAGUGAACAGGUCUUCUUUGAUGCGCUGAAUAUAAACAUGUAUUUAGAUUUUUUAUUUGUGCCCAGUUUUCUGUUUUUUCAUUUAAAUAUAUGCAUUUUCAAUUGUUGCACGUGACACUUGGCAGCUUCAAUAAGAUAUUGAAAAUGUUUUCAUUAUGACAACUCCAAAUCUUGUAUUGUUUUGCUCAGCUCAACCACCUCAAUUAUUUGUAUGUGUCUGAACU